UUUUUUUCCCUACAGUGUAUUUACACUCAAGAUUGAGAUAAACAUCCAUUUGCUUUAACACAUGUGAAAAUACCUUAGCAACUUCCUGCAGCUCUGGUCUGUUGCUAAGCAGUGACCCUACUGCUACCAUGGCAACAUCAGAGACUCCGGAGUGCUGCUGGUACCAGCCUCCUGUUCCUGACAAGACUUUGGGAAACUGUUAGUAGGGCCUUAGGAGCACUUUUGCUCUUGGGGGGCAACCUUGCUCUAUUGCUCGUUGGCACUGAGGGAAGCUCUCUGGGGAGAGGAGCCCACCAAUGCUUGGCUGACAAGACCCUAGUCAUGUCUGAUGUGGCUUCACCUCUGCUGCCGUCUUCGUAUCACUAGGGGAGCCCUGCGGAGUGGGGUGGAGUUCAAGAUGGAUUCUCAAGAAGUUAUAGGAAGCUCUUUAUCAAUUCUAUUCCUGAGAAGGACCCACUUCAGGGAUGUUACAGUGCAGACAAAGAUUCUGGUGCCUCACAAGAUUUGACACAAGCCAGCGCUUUGUUGUUUUUCUCACCUGUUGGCCAGAAGAUUAUCUUGGAGCAGGAAAAGGUGAACCACUUGGCUGAACUCUGGCAAAUGGGUUUUGACUAUAAAUGAUGUGCACCACUUCUAGACUUGUCUAGUUACAAAACAUCUUGUGUGAUCCUCUGUGCUCUUUCCUGAUCCCCAGCCAAGUGGAAGAAGCCAAGUGAAGGGCUAUGGGGACCUAGAAGAUGGAGUCGUCACACAAUGGAAGAAUUGCAGAUCUCUGAGUCACCAUUUGGACAAGAACCUACUAGAACAGGUGCCUGAACAAGAACACUGGACUUUGUGUGAGUGAGAAACAAACUUUUAUUGUGUUAAGCCACCAAGAUUUUGGGUUGGUUUUUAUAGUAGCUGGUGUUGCUUACACUGACUAAUACAUCUUGAAAGUAAAUGAUGCAAAACAAUUCUACUUAUUCACAGGGGGUGGUAUUUAUAAGGGAAAAGAAUAACAGGGUGGUGUCAGUGAUGGGUCCUGAUAAGUAAGCAACAAAAAGGAAGGGGCCCCAGGUAGGGAAGAACAAUUGUUCUGAGAGACUGUUAAUCACAAACAACCUGCUAGCCCCACAUCCUGUUCUCAAAUACUUUGCUCAGCAUGUAGCCCCAGCAGCAUGACUUUGUCUGCAUGUAGACCCUCCAGCAUGACCCUAUAAAAUUUCCCUGCAGCCACUGCCUCUUGGCAGACAGUCCCUUCUCCGCUGUGCUGCCCACUGCUUUCUUACAACGUUAUCUUUGUACUUUCUUUAAUAAAUCUGCCUUUCUUUAC